rnacentral:rRNA from 1 species
UACGUAGGUGGCAAGCGUUGUUCGGAAUAACUGGCGUAAAGGAUGCGUAGGCGGUUAAACAAGUUAUAUGUUAAAUAUAUAGGCUUAACCUGUAGAAAGCAUAUAAAACUGUUUAACUAGAGUGCAGGAGAGGUAAGUGGGAUUCCUAGUGUAGCGGUGAAAUGCGUAGAGAUUAGGAAGAACACCAGUGGCGAAGGCGACUUACUGGACUGUAACUGACGCUGAGGCAUGAGAGCAUGGGGAGCAAACAGG